rnacentral:lncRNA from 1 species
ACCCUCCGGCCGUGGCGGUCGCAGCGCCGGCAGCUCGGGCCUCAGCCCCUGCCUCUGUGGUGACUCCGCCGCGCUUCGACGUCGCCCCUGUCCCCGUCCCGCCCGCCGCCCCCGCCAACCCCGCCGCCGGGGACAUGUCCAACCCCUGAAGCCGGAGGAACGGGCCAGUCAGACUGCGCCCGACAGGAGGUGAAGUGAAAUCUGCAAGAGUCCUGCUCGUUCAAGGCCUGCAUACAGGAAAGAAGCAGGGGAAAAGCGUUAGAAACAGCUUUUGUUCUACAGCAUUUUAAAAUAUAAUAGGUAUAUUGAAAAGUCUGAUUCAGUUACAAUCAGUGUAUGGAAUCACAAGAAGAUCCAUAAGAAACAAGGUGCUGGAUUUCUCCGUUGUGUUCGUCUUUUUCCAGUGCCAUCAACCACCUCAAAGACACUGGUUAUCAGAGGUUGGAUUUAUGCAAACUUGGGCCAAAGGACAGUUAGAAGACAGUAGGUGAUCAGCUUGAAAUUCAGCUAACCGAGCAGCUACGGUCCCUCAUCCCCAACGAGGAUGUGAGAAAGUUCAUGUCUCAUGUUAUCUGGACCUUGAAAAUGGAAUGUUCAGAAACACAUGUGCAAGGGAGCUGUGCCAAGCUCAUGUCGCGAACAGGCCUCCUGAUGAAGCUUCUCAGCGAGCAGCAGGAAGCAAAGGCAUUGAAUGUAGAAUGGGAUACGGACCAACAAAAAACAAAUUAUAUUAAUGAGAACAUGGAACAGAAUGAACAGAAAGAGCAGAAGUCAAGUGAGCUCAUGAAAGAAGUUCCAGGAUAUGACUAUAAGAACAAACUCAUCUUCGCAAUAUCUGUGACUGUCAUACUAAUAAUUUUGAUUAUAAUUUUUUGUUUUAUAGAGGUGCCGUGCUGGGCAGUGAAUGAAUGAACCUUG